UAGAGUUUGAUCAUGGCUCAGAUUGAACGCUGGCGGCAGGCCUAACACAUGCAAGUCGAGCGGAAACGAGAAUAGCUUGCUAUUCGGCGUCGAGCGGCGGACGGGUGAGUAAUGCCUGGGGAUAUGCCCUGAUGUGGGGGAUAACUAUUGGAAACGAUAGCUAAUACCGCAUAAUCUCUUCGGAGUAAAGAGGGGGACCUUCGGGCCUCUCGCGUCAGGAUUAGCCCAGGUGGGAUUAGCUUGUUGGUGGGGUAAAGGCUCACCAAGGCAACGAUCCCUAGCUGGUCUGAGAGGAUGAUCAGCCACACUGGAACUGAGACACGGUCCAGACUCCUACGGGAGGCAGCAGUGGGGAAUAUUGCACAAUGGGGGAACCCUGAUGCAGCCAUGCCGCGUGUGUGAAGAAGGCCUUCGGGUUGUAAAGCACUUUCAGUUGUGAGGAAAGGUGUGUAGUUAAUAGCUGCAUACUGUGACGUUAACAACAGAAGAAGCACCGGCUAACUUCGUGCCAGCAGCCGCGGUAAUACGAGGGGUGCAAGCGUUAAUCGGAAUUACUGGGCGUAAAGCGUUCGUAGGCGGUUGAAUAAGCAAGAUGUGAAAGCCCAGGGCUCAACCUUGGAACUGCAUUUUGAACUGUUCGACUAGAGUACUGUAGAGGGGGGUAGAAUUUCA
rnacentral:rRNA from 1 species